UACCCUAACUCCACAAAACACUCUUAGACCACUCUCACCGAUCUCAGACCACUCUCACCGAUCCAACACAUUCCCCUCAUCGAUCUCAGAUCACUCUCACUGAUCUCAAGCUACCUCACUUCCACCCUAUCCGAAUCCCCUUCCUCCCUCUGCUCUUCUUCCUCUCCGUUCCCUUCUCAUCGAUCGGAAGCACACACACACUUUCUCUCGAACUCUCAAUCUCAUUCAAGACACUCUCGCAAGGUCGACUAACAAUAGAGAAAGCAAAGUAAUAAACCUUGCGAUACAUAGAUGAGAAGGAGACCACAUUGAGAGAACUACGACCGAUAAGUUUUUCUAUAUGCUAUUCAAUUUGGUUGGAUUGAUUUUUAUUUAGUUGCAGAAUAUCGUUUCCCUGUGCCAGAUAAUGACAUUGGGACUUCUGCAAUAGAGAAUUAAAAGGUCUGUGUGGGUCUGUCAGAUUUGUGGGGAAGUAUUUCAUAAUUUUAGGGACCCAAUCACUCAAAGGAUAAAGUUGGUAAGUUCUGUCUUCUGUGAAACUGGGCAAAGCUAAAAAAACUGUGAUGAAUCAUGUUAAAGCUGUAAGGAAAUUUGGUGAUGUUGUUCUCAAAGAUUUGAAAUUAUAGGCAGAGGCACGAAGUUCACUAAAACUUCUGGUCACUGUGCAAGAAAAUCCAGAUGCCUCUCAAAAGCCAUUCACCUUCAUUUUCUAUCAUUUUGUCUUGGUACCCGCCCAAUUCCCAAGCCUCUCCUUUGUUGUGUUUAUUAUCUUUCUUAAUUUGAUGCGUACUUGCAUCUUUGUAAGUUUUUUUUUUUUUUUUUUUUUUUUUUUUUACUUUUAAUUAUAUAAAUUAAGAUUUGUAUCAUAGGGCCGUAUCUGAGACAUAUGUAGCCGUAUCAUACAAAUUUUUAAAAGGCAUUUGUAAAGCAAACAUAGUUGGGAUAUACCCAACGUGCAGUAUUGUAUUGGAAAGGGAAGUGGUAUUAUAUUUGAA